rnacentral:rRNA from 1 species
UCGAGAAUUUUUCGCAAUGGGCGCAAGCCUGACGGAGCGACGCCGUGUGAGUGAUGAAGGCCUUUGGGUUGUAAAACUCUUUCGCCUAAGAACAAGAGAGUGCAGCGAAUAGCUGCAUAAUUUGAUAGUACUAGGUAAAGAAGCACCGGCUAACUCCGUGCCAGCAGCUGCGGUAAUACGGAGGGUGCAAGCAUUGAUCGGAAUUACUGGGCGUAAAGGGCGCGUAGGCGGCUUAAGAAGUUAGAUGUGAAAUACCGUGGCUCAACUGCGGUGCUGCAUUUAAAACUGAUGAGCUAGAGCAUAGUGUGGGAAAACAGAAUUUCGCAUGUAGCGGUGAAAUGCGUAGAUAUGCGAAGGAAUACCGGUGGUGAAGGCGGUUUUCUGUGCUAUGGCUGACGCU